UACAGAGGUCUCAAGCGUUGUUCGGAUUCAUUGGGCGUAAAGGGUGCGUAGGUGGCGGGGCAAGUCUGGUGUGAAAUCCCGGGGCUCAACCCUGGAACUGCACUGGAUACUGCUUUGCUAGAGUACUGGAGAGGGAACUGGAAUUUACGGUGUAGCAGUGAAAUGCGUAGAUAUCGUAAGGAAGACCAGUGGCGAAGGCGAGUCUCUGGACAGUUACCGACGCUGAGGCACGAAGGCCAGGGGAGCAAACGGG
rnacentral:rRNA from 1 species